rnacentral:rRNA from 1 species
CUUGCUCUCUGGGUGACGAGCGGCGGACGGGUGAGUAAUGUCUGGGAAACUGCCUGAUGGAGGGGGAUAACUACUGGAAACGGUAGCUAAUACCGCAUAAUGUCUACGGACCAAAGUGGGGGACCUUCGGGCCUCAUGCCAUCAUAUGUGCCCAUAUGGGAUUAUCUANUAUGUGGGGUAAUGUCUCCCCUCNGCCACGACCCCAAGCUUAUCCGANAUGAUAAGGAGAUCCNCCGCACUGGGAACGAGAUACAGCCCCCACUCCUACGGAACGGAGGNGUAGGGAAUUUUUCGCGUGGAAUAAAGUCNGACNGAACAAC